rnacentral:rRNA from 1 species
AGUGAACGCUGGCGGUAGGCCUAACACAUGCAAGUCGAACGGCAGCACAGUAAGAGCUUGCUCUUACGGGUGGCGAGUGGCGGACGGGUGAGGAGUACAUCGGAAUCUACUUUUUCGUGGGGGAUAACGUAGGGAAACUUACGCUACUACCGCAUACGACCUACGGGUGAAAGCAGGGGAUCUUCGGACCUUGCGCGAUUGAAUGAGCCGAUGUCGGAUUAGCUAGUUGGCGGGGUAAAGGCCCACCAAGGCGACGAUCCGUAGCUGGUCUGAGAGGAUGAUCAGCCACACUGGAACUGAGACACGGUCCAGACUCCUACGGGAGGCAGCAGUGGGGAAUAUUGGACAAUGGGCGCAAGCCUGAUCCAGCAAUACCGCGUGGGUGAAGAAGGCCUUCGGGUUGUAAAGCCCUUUUGUUGGGAAAGAAAAGCAGCAGGUUAAUACCCCGCUGUUCUGACGGUACCCAAAGAAUAAGCACCGGCUAACUUCGUG